rnacentral:rRNA from 1 species
GAUGAACGCUGGCGGCGUGCCUAAUACAUGCAAGUCGAGCGAACGGACGAGAAGCUUGCUUCUCUGAUGUUAGCGGCGGACGGGUGAGUAACACGUGGAUAACCUACCUAUAAGACUGGGAUAACUUCGGGAAACCGGAGCUAAUACCGGAUAAUAUUUUGAACCGCAUGGUUCAAAAGUGAAAGACGGUCUUGCUGUCACUUAUAGAUGGAUCCGCGCUGCAUUAGCUAGUUGGUAAGGUAACGGCUUACCAAGGCAACGAUGCAUAGCCGACCUGAGAGGGUGAUCGGCCACACCGGAACUGAGACACGGUCCAGACUCCUACGGGAGGCAGCAGUAGGGAAUCUUCCGCCAUGGGCGAAAGCCUGACGGAGCAAAGCCGCGUGAGUGAUGAAGGUCUUCGGAUCGUAAAACUCUGUUAUUAGGGAAGAACAUAUGUGUAAGUAACUGUGCACAUCUUGACGGUACCUAAUCAGAAAGCCACGGCUAACUACGUG